rnacentral:rRNA from 1 species
CCUACGGGAGGCAGCAGUGGGGAAUAUUGCGCAAUGGGCGAAAGCCUGACGCAGCGACGCAGCGUGAGGGAUGAAGGCCUUCGGGUUGUAAACCUCUUUCAGCGGGGACGAAGCGAAAGUGACGGUACCCGCAGAAGAAGCACCGGCUAACUACGUGCCAGCAGCCGCGGUAAUACGUAGGGUGCAAGCAUUGUCCGGAUUUAUUGGGCGUAAAGAGCUCGUAGGCGGCUUGUCACGUCGGGUGUGAAAACUUGGGGCUCAACCCCAAGCCUGCACUCGAUACGGGCUAGCUAGAGUGUUGCAGGGGAGACUGGAAUUCCUGGUGUAGCGGUGAAAUGCGCAGAUAUCAGGAGGAACACCGGUGGCGAAGGCGGGUCUCUGGGCAACUACUGGCGCUGAGGAGCGAAAGCGUGGGGAGCGAACAGGAUUAGAUACCCCGGUAGUCCACGCCGUAAACGGUGGGCGCUAGGUGUGGGGAACCUUCCACGUUCUCUGUGCCGCAGCUACGCAUAGUCGCCCGCCCGUCGGGAGGUACGGCCGGCCGACGGACGUAAACCUACAACGGAAGUUAGACGGCGUGAGACGCGCCGACGGACGACCGACGAGGGAGGUAGG